rnacentral:misc_RNA from 1 species
GAUGAAGAACGUAGCGAAAUGCGAUAAGUAAUGUGAAUUGCAGAAUUCAGUGAAUCAUCGAAUCUUUGAACGCACCUUGCGCUCCUUGGUAUUCCGAGGAGCAUGCCUGUUUGAGUGUCAUGAAAUUCUCAACCUUUUCAGCUUUCUUUGUUGAUCAGGCUUGGAUGUGGGAGUAUGCGGGCUUCUCAGAAGUCGGCUCUCCUGAAAUGCAUUAGCGGGACCUUUGUUGCCUGGCUUUGGUGUGAUAAUUAUCUACGCCAUUGUAGUCAAGCAGCUUAAAAUGAGGUUUCAGCUUCUAACCGUCUCCCCUGAGACAACUUUUUGACAAUUUGACCUCAAAUCAGGUAGGACUACCCGCUGAACUUAAGCAUAUCAAAAGCGGAGGA